UACGUAGGGUGCAAGCGUUAUCCGGAAUUAUUGGGCGUAAAGCGUGCGUAGGCGGUUGUCUAAGUCUGGUGUGAAAUCUCCCGGCUCAGCUGGGAGGGUGCGCCGGAAACUGGAUGACUGGAGUGCCGGAGAGGUAAGCGGAAUUCCUGGUGUAGCGGUGAAAUGCGUAGAGAUCAGCAGGAACACCCGUGGCGAAGGCGGCCCCCUGGGCCGUACCUGACGCUGAGGCGCGAAGGCUAGGGGAGCGAACGGG
rnacentral:rRNA from 1 species